AUCUAAGCAGACUGCCCUGGGCAGCUGGUUGAUGGGUUCUUCCAGCUGGACAUCUUCUACCCAUUUAGUCCAACCACACCUGCUUCAGACAGCAAACAAGAGCCUUUCUCAUCUCCAGGAUCUACAUAUGGGGGGCUGGGGGUAUAGAGGCACCAUUCAGCUUCCAGCUGUAGUGUUUCAUGAUGGUCGAGGAUCCCAUCUGGCCUCCUACCAGAAAAAAAAAGAGGUUUUAGGUUUAGAGUUUUUCAGAUGUGUAAACUGAGGCACAGAGAGUCACACACCUUUCUGUAACUUACCCAAAGCCGGUAAGUGAUGGAACUGGAAUAUGAAUAAAAUACAAGGCCGGCCACUGACUCUGUGGAGUGCUCUGAGCGGAAGUUGAUGUCCCCAUUUUGCAGAUGGUGCCAUCUUGCAGAGAAAGUUACACACUUGUGGCAAGACUCCUACAAAAUGCUCCAGCUCCAAGUGUCCAAAAGUUACCUUAAACUCGUUAUGUAAUAGCGUGUUUACCUGCUACACGUGCACCCUGAUUAAACACAGUUGUUACUCAGUUGUGACAAAUAAACCUGUUAUCCACUGCUGUCUUGUGUAUAAAGUCACCACCGGAGCUGAGCUCAGAGAGACACUGCUUGUGGGAAAUAUCCCAGGUGUUCUGCAUUGUUUGUGCAAGCAAUAAACCUUUUCCUUCACCUACUUCUGCCUUAGUUGUGCUUUUUGGCUUCAUACUCACCGAG
rnacentral:lncRNA from 1 species